CUCGCGCCAAGUGUGCAGUGCGAAGGAUGCAUCGGAGGUUGGAGCACGAGUCUUCGAUGAAGUUAAGAAUGAAGCUGAGUGAUAAUCAGCGUCUCACGCGAGAUGUGCAAGAGAUGGAAACGAUGAGCGAAAUGUGCAGCGUAAUGGCAGAUGUAUGAAGAUAAGCGAGUUUAAUUGAAGGUUAGGUUGAAGCUGACGUAAAAUUUGGGAUUGCUGUUAAAAGUAUUGCGCGUACAAGUGCGGGAGUGCCGUUAAAAUUAAAAGUAUCGCGCGUGUUAAUCAAUAAACUGAGUUUGACGACCCUGACAACCUGAGAGGAGGAGAAAGCUUGAGAGAGGCAUCGGGCAUCGACGGAGCAACACUUUAAGCUGACGUAAAAUUUGGGAUUGCUGUUAAAAGUAUUGCGCGUACAAGUGCGGGAGUGCCGUUAAAAUUAAAAGUAUCGCGCGUGUUAAUCAAUAAACUGAUUUUGACGAUCCUGACAACCUGAGAGGAGGAGGAGAAGGCUUGAGAGAGGCAUCGGGCAUCGACGGAGCAACACUUUAAGAUGACGUAAAAUUCGGGAUUGCUGUUAAAAGUAUUGCGCGUACAAGUGCAGGAGUGCUGUUAAAAUUAAAAGUAUCGCGCGUGUUAAUCGAUAAACUGAUUUUGACGAUCCUUACAACCUGUAAGGAGGAGGAGAAGGCUUGAAAUAGGCAUCGGGCAUCGACGGAGCAACACUUUAAGCUCCUUCAUAUGAAAUUACAGUGUGCCAAAGAGACAAAUAGAUCAACCAUCCAUUCAAUAUAAACGGUAACGCAUGCACAUGUUUCAACAUGAUAUAAAGCAGUAUAUACCUCCUCCGAUACACUCCUCGAGAAUUAAGUGUGAACAUUAUACCUGCUAUUUAAAAAAAAAUCUAUACAAAAAAAAAAUCGCUAAAAGUCAUCGACGAUCUAAUUCGUUGGACGAGUCCCUCCUCGCCUCAUUGAUAUAUUCAGUCUUAAUCAGUUUAUCAAACUAUCAUAUACGUCAUUCAUGUACAUUAUUCCAUCGCACCACAGUUUCGCGCUAAUAGGUUUGUUUAAUUUAAUUGAUUUAAUUAAAAUACUAGUCGCGCACGCGCGCUAACGAGGCAAGAGGAGAAAUUGAAAAAUCGAAUUGAAAAAAAAAAAAAAAAA